CAUCCAGUCAGUUAUCUUUGCAGUUCUUGUUCUGAGCUGUACGUACUGCUGUGCAUCGCAAGGAUCCAUUAUGGCGGAUUAGGGCUCGUAAGAAUGCAAGGAUAGGUAGAGGAUUCUGACCAUAGGAUUCUCGGACAUCCAUCUUUGUAAUUCUUGGAAUAAACUGUUCUCUUAUCAGAUUCGUCCUCCAGGGUUCUCUGAGCCUCAUCGGUCUCACCUCGGUCAUCUAAUCUUGCGUUCUCUCAGUCCUUGCAGUCAUUUUUGCCAAGAGAUUUCUGUCCUUGUUGUGUCCCCCUUGUUUGUCAUGUUCUGUCCUGUGUCACGGGUGUCUGCACAUAUUUGUGCCGGAGCUGCUCUGCCCUGCUGCAUAGCCUGGUGUAAUAGGACAAAUCCUGGGGGCUUGAAAUUUGUAGUGUGGGGUGUAGUUGGAUUAUAGAUGGGAUUUGUAGAUGGACCCAAGAUGUCUGGAGCUGUGAAGUGGUCCUGCAGCCCUUUGACAUUUGUCCUCACUUGCUUUUAGAUGCAGGUGGAUAAAAUCCAUGGCAGAGCACCCCAUCCUGGCUGAGUGGGUUGCCCUGAGCAGGAAGUAAAGCCACAUAUCAGAAGUCAAGGCGAGGUGGUCAAGGCAAUCCAUUUGGAGUAUGCAUGACUCCCCAUCACGCACUGGCCGAUGGACUGUGAUCAUUGCUCUCGUGAGCCCUGUGGAAGUAUUACAGGACUUGGUGAUGAAGCCUCUGCCUUUCCUAUUUAAAUGUGUCACCCGGGUAGCCUUUGGCCGCGGCUGAGGAG